UGGUUCUGAGUGAUCUCUUUCCUUCCUGUUUCUUUUAGUCUCCUUCACUUCAGGUCCUGUACCUGCUGCAACAGAGGCUGUUGUAUGAACAUAUUGUAUAAUAUUUUUGUUGAGUCUUCAAGAGCAAGAAGGAAGAUCUGAGAAUCUCCAUCCCUGCAAAGCUUUCCAGUUCAUCUGAGCGAUUUGUUGCAUUGUUGUUUGACUACUUUCUGCUGGCUAUCUGCAACAUAUGGCUUCAUGAGGUAACUGCUGGAAAGAGGCAGAAUAAGGAGAGGAAUACAGAUCAUUAAUACAUUUUUACAUCCCUUCAGAUGCUGGGCACUUUGCUUUGUGCAGCAUGGGAACACCUGGAUGGAUAUUUUCUUGGCGUGCUGCACAGAGCAGAUCCUGUCCAUGGAGAGAAGCUCUCCCUUUUGAUCAUUCAAGCUAAUAUGUAGUUCUCCUACAAGAUUAAAAAGGUAUUCCUGAAGGAUGUUCAAAUGGUGACAUCUCGCUGCACUUUUAGAUACAUUUUAGGGGCCUAGUUCUCUUCAGGAUUUUUACAAAUUAUCUAGAUGUGGGAAUUGAAUGCAUUCAGUUUGCAGAUAAAACUUAUUUAGAAGGAGCUGUGGGCUCCCUCAAUGGUAAACAGGGCAUAAAUAAUUAUGGUAAUUGUAUUUGUCUUGUAAACUAAUCAAUACAGAAAGCACAUGAUUGAAUGUGGAGGUUUUUACUGCUUGUUGAGCACACAUAUACAGAAUGACUUGUGGAUUUGGUGGUUUAUCUGUACCCCAUCAGAAACACUCAGAGAGGCCUUCUCUGUGGUUUGCUCACAGGGUCGUAGUGAUUGCCGGAUUUUUACAGGAGGAAGUUUAUAUACACUGAGGGGAAUAUUUCCUAGAUGAUAGACAGGAGGACUUCUUAGGAAGCAGAGUGGUGCUGUCUCUCCCAGCAGGCAGCCUGACUGCAGGAGAUGGAUGCACACCCUUUCUAAACCUCAGGCUAACUAAUGCAUGACUUGAAGGGCAAGUGUUUCACGUUUGUUUGUUUUUUGGUGUGGGAGGAGGUACAGGAAGGAAGUUCUUCAGCUUUUAUUUUGUCUAUAAGUCCUAUGAGGAUAACUUGUCAGUAGUUCCUGCUGAUAGUAAAAUCAGCAUAAAAGCAUUGCAGGUGUUUUGGUCACAUAGAAAGAAAAUGUAAAAUUAUUUCCAUUUCCAUUAUGUUUCACACGAUUUUAUGCAGGCAUUAUAAUUGUCCAGUAAUGUCUUGGUUUUGCUCCUUUCACCUGCUGUUUAAAUUUCAAAGUGUAAAAUAUUAUUUGUCAGGCAAGUGAUUUCCUUUUCAGAUUCUUCUGAGAAAUUCUGCUCCUAAAUGUGACAGUUUCAGUCAGAGGAAUUGGUUUCCUUUUAUAACAGUCUAAUGUCUUGAAGAACAGUUUUAUACUUGAUGGCCGUUUGCUACUUUCACUGUAAAAUUGUUCGUUCAGUUCAUCUGCCACUUCAAAUAAUAACCCACUUAUCACCAGCUAAUGCGAUUUAUUGUUACAACAGAAGGAUUUUAGAAUGCUACCUAACAACAUGGCAAGAACAUAUACUUUAAAAGCAAUAUUUCCGUGAACGCUAUGAGCAUAUUCUUUCCUUUAGGAAUGCAAUUUUCAUGAACGAAUAUCUGCAGGUUUUAAGAAACUUCACUAUUUGGCAGAAGUUCUUUUUGGAUUUGAAAGUCUACAACUCUAGAAUAAAGUAGAUUUUUAUACUGAAGGUUAGUAUAAAUGUCAGUGUAAGAGAGAGGCAGCAUUGCCUGACACUCACAGAGGAGAAAGAAUGAGAUAGUGGGCUGGGCAGCUGGGCCACAGUUAGUGCAACAUCAUGCUAGUGUGUGCAAGGAGAGCUGUAUGGUUCCUCUGCAUCCCCAAAGAAUAAUUGCCACGAUAGCUUUUUGAAGUAAAAUGUGUUUUCGUGCCAA